ACUCCUACGGGAGGCAGCAGUAGGGAAUCUUCCACAAUGGGCGGCAAGCCUGAUGGAGCAACACCGCGUGAGUGAAGAAGGGUUUCGGCUCGUAAAGCUCUGUUGUUAAAGAAGAACACGUAUGAGAGUAACUGUUCAUACGUUGACGGUAUUUAACCAGAAAGUCACGGCUAACUACGUGCCAGCAGCCGCGGUAAUACGUAGGUGGCAAGCGUUAUCCGGAUUUAUUGGGCGUAAAGAGAGUGCAGGCGGUUUUCUAAGUCUGAAUGUGAAAGCCUUCGGCUUAACCGGAGAAGUGCAUCGGAAACUGGAUAACUUGAGUGCAGAAGAGGUAGUGGAACU
rnacentral:rRNA from 1 species